rnacentral:rRNA from 1 species
GCGGACGGGUGAGUAAUGUCUGGGAAACUGCCUGAUGGAGGGGGAUAACUACUGGAAACGGUAGCUAAUACCGCAUAACGUCGCAAGACCAAAGAGGGGGACCUUCGGGCCUCUUGCCAUCAGAUGUGCCCAGAUGGGAUUAGCUAGUAGGUGGGGUAAUGGCUCACCUAGGCGACGAUCCCUAGCUGGUCUGAGAGGAUGACCAGCCACACUGGAACUGAGACACGGUCCAGACUCCUACGGGAGGCAGCAGUGGGGAAUAUUGCACAAUGGGCGCAAGCCUGAUGCAGCCAUGCCGCGUGUGUGAAGAAGGCCUUCGGGUUGUAAAGCACUUUCAGCGAGGAGGAAGGUGGUGAGCUUAAUACGCUCAUCAAUUGACGUUACUCGCAGAAGAAGCACCGGCUAACUCCGUGCCAGCAGCCGCGGUAAUACGGAGGGUGCAAGCGUUAAUCGGAAUUACUGGGCGUAAAGCGCACGCAGGCGGUUUGUUAAGUCAGAUGUGAAAUCCCCGGGCUCAACCUGGGAACUGCAUUUGAAACUGGCAAGCUAGAGUCUCGUAGAGGGGGGUAGAAUUCCAGGUGUAGCGGUGAAAUGCGUAGAGAUCUGGAGGAAUACCGGUGGCGAAGGCGGCCCCCCUGGACGAAGACUGACGCUCACGUGCG